UUUUUCAGUAGUUUAAGACAUGCAAAUCGUUGUUUCCAAAGUCCUUAAUUAAUUAAUAUUUUUAAUAUUAAUGGGAUCCGGGGAUAAGGUGUAGAGGUGAGUAUGUUAAAUAAGAUACCCUAUAGUCUUCUUAGCUAGGAGAUACAAAGUAAAGGAAAAUUUCUGCUAUAGGAUUCUAUUUAAUUUGAUUAGGUAGUUGAUAGGGUAACGGCCUACCAAGCCAACGAUCAAAAGUCAAGUUUGAAAGAACCUCUGGCCACAUUGGGGAUGAAAUCUCCCAAGUAGUAAUAACACUACCAGCAGUCGAGAAUAUUAGUCAAUGCUCGUAAGAGUGAACUAGCUAACUGAAAUCAUAGAAUUUUUUCAAAUUCAUGAUGUCGUAAGGGAAAAUAAUGAUAAUACCUUACUAUGAGUGUCGUCCAAAUCUGGUGCCAGAAGACUCGGUAAGACCAGAGACGCAAACGUUAAUCAUCAUAAACAGGCGUAAAGGGUUUGUAGGCAGCUUUUAUAGGAUUAUUUUUAAAGAUAAUCUAAAUUGAAAGCUAGAAUCAAAAAGAGGUUAUAGUGUAUAACGCCUAGAGGAGGGCUGAUAUCCGUAGAUCCUAGGCAGAAUACUCAGGGCGAAGGCCACUUUCCACUAAUGAUUGACGCUGAGAAACGAAGGUUAGGGUAGGAAAUAGGAU
rnacentral:rRNA from 1 species